rnacentral:rRNA from 1 species
GAUGAACGCUGGCGGCGUGCCUAAUACAUGCAAGUCGAGCGAAUGGAUUAAGAGCUUGCUCUUAUGAAGUUAGCGGCGGACGGGUGAGUAACACGUGGGUAACCUGCCCAUAAGACUGGGAUAACUCCGGGAAACCGGGGCUAAUACCGGAUAACAUUUUGAACCGCAUGGUUCGAAAUUGAAAGGCGGCUUCGGCUGUCACUUAUGGAUGGACCCGCGUCGCAUUUGCUAGUUGGUGAGGUAACGGCUCACGAAGGCAACGAUGCGUAGCCCACCUGAGAGGGUGAUCGGCCACACUGGGACUGAGACACGGCCCAGACUCCUACGGGAGGCAGCAGUAGGGAAUCUUCCGCAAUGGACGAAAGUCUGACGGAGCAACGCCGCGUGAGUGAUGAAGGCUUUCGGGUCGUAAAACUCUGUUGUUAGGGAAGAACAAGUGCUAGUUGAAUAAGCUGGCACCUUGACGGUACCUAACCAGAAAGCCACGGCUAACUACGUGCCAGCCGCCGCAGUAA